rnacentral:rRNA from 1 species
GGAAUCUUGCACAAUGGGGGAAACCCUGAUGCAGCGACGCCGCGUGAACGAUGAAGCCCUUCGGGGUGUAAAGUUCUUUCGACAGGAACGAUAAUGACGGUACCUGGAGAAGAAGCUGCGGCUAACUACGUGCCAGCAGCCGCGGUAAUACGUAGGCAGCGAGCGUUGUUCGGAGUUACUGGGCGUAAAGAGUGCGUAGGCGGCGAGCCAAGUUUGGUGUGAAAUCUCCCGGCUUAACCGGGAGGGUGCGCCGAAAACUGGUUGGCUGGAGUAUGGGAGAGGAAAGCGGAAUUCCUGGUGUAGCGGUGAAAUGCGUAGAUAUCAGGAGGAACACCUGCGGUGUAGACAGCUUUCUGGA